rnacentral:rRNA from 1 species
UACGUAGGGUGCAAGCGUUAUUCGGAAUUACUGGGCGUAAAGCGUGCGCAGGCGGUUGUGUAAGUCAGAUGUGAAAUCCCCGGGCUUAACCUGGGAAUUGCAUUUGUGACUGCACGGCUAGAGUGUGUCAGAGGGGGGUAGAAUUCCACGUGUAGCAGUGAAAUGCGUAGAUAUGUGGAGGAAUACCGAUGGCGAAGGCAGCCCCCUGGGAUAACACUGACGCUCAUGCACGAAAGCGUGGGGAGCAAACAGG